CCAGACUCCUACGGGAGGCAGCAGUGGGGAAUAUUGCACAAUGGGGGAAACCCUGAUGCAGCGACGCCGCGUGAGUGAAGAAGUAUUUCGGUAUGUAAAGCUCUAUCAGCAGGGAAGAAAAUGACGGUACCUGACUAAGAAGCCCCGGCUAACUACGUGCCAGCAGCCGCGGUAAUACGUAGGGGGCAAGCGUUAUCCGGAUUUACUGGGUGUAAAGGGAGCGUAGACGGCAGCGCAAGUCUGAAGUGAAAACUGAGGGCUCAACUUUCAGACUGCAUUUGAAACUGCUGUUCUUGAGUGAAGUAGAGGUAAGCGGAAUUCCUAGUGUAGCGGUGAAAUGCGUAGAUAUUAGGAGGAACAUCGGUGGCGAAGGCGGCUUACUGGGCUUUUACUGACGCUGAGGCUCGAAAGCGUGGGGAGCAAACAGGAUUAGAUACCCUUGUA
rnacentral:rRNA from 1 species